GAAUUAUUACACCAAUUAUUAUAUAUUACGAUUAUACAUGCAUAAAAUACAAAAAAUGUAACAAGAGUACAUUUGUAAAGGCAGAUGGCCAGCUGUUACUAGUGCCAUGAGUCUCCAAUUUAUCUUACUUAUUUUUUAAAAAUCAGCGGCCCUUUGCUCUUUUAUGAAAGUCUAUGUGGCCCUUGCAAAAAACAAUAGCCCACCCCUGGUAUGAAAGUAGUAAUGUGUGAUGGUUAUGGGAGAAAUUUCAUUUGGUUAUGGUCACAAUUUUGGUCAUGUAUAGUGCUGUAUUUUGGUAAUAAGAGAAGAGAUGGUACAAGUCAGAUGUACCAACACAAGAUGAAUGCCUGUAGAUAGCGAGUGAAUGUAUUUUAUGGAGUAGCUGGCUCAUAAGAGAGUAACAAUGAGUCAAGAGUAACAAUGUAGGGAGAAAUAGACCUUUUUUACGUGUGAGUGAUAGGAUGAGGACUGAAAUAUUAAUAUAUUGCAGGAACAAACAGUUGAGGCAAGGCAAUUCAGAUUAUUCAUGAGUUGAUGUUGGUUUUAUUUUUUUGUUUUGUUUUCCCUCUUUCUUUUGUGUAAUGAGAAAGUAAUAAAAAAUUUAGUGUUAAAAGAAAGAACAAGUUCAAAUGUUAUCGAUUGAGACCAAGAUGUGUCAAAUUAAGUAAGCUAUCAAGUUUAGCUGACCUAAGUGCACCUAAUGUAACCAGAAUUAAAGUACAACUGACAACAGUUAUUUUGAAUUCCAGGUCACCUAGCAAUGUCAGAAGCACUGUGCACUGGAAUGUGCUGAGAUGUUAGCAGUUGCAUCAGAGACAUAAAUUAAUUUAAAUAAAAUAAAUGAAAUUGUCAAGGAUGGUCUGAAAGCUAACAGUGCUGGAAAUUUCUUCUACAGCUCAGUCCUCUAUGGGAUUAUCCUAAUCCCCAUUUUUAAGUUUCAAACAAAGAUUAGGACUCCAAAAGCAGGACACUCAAGACACGAAUAAUCAAUGUAUGAGUAGUCAAUCUGCUUCAGACUGACACACAAGGAGAGACACAAACCCACACACAGAAGGAACAGACAGGAACAAGGGGAACGGGGAGGAACACAGGAGAACAAGGAGACAAAAGGAGCAAAGCCAGCAAUCCUAACACCCAUAUGUAAUUCAACUGUUGGCGCCCAUUUGGGGACUGGUUUGCAGGUUUUAACUUGCUAAAGCAGAUGAUGCCUGCAGGUGUAUUUCCAGAAAAAGCUGCUGCUCAUUGUUUUCGCCAUCAUCAGUUGUUUCAUGGGGUUUGUAUUAUUGUUAUAUGAUUUUAACAAUUAAGUAAAGCUGAACAGGUAAUUAGAGUACACACACUCUUCUAAAUACAGUAUGACUCACAUUGCAUCGUACCAAAGGUCAAACAGCUCCACAAUUUUAUCAGGAAAUCACAUUCAAUCAUGGAGGGAGGUGUCCCUCUUAAUUACCCUCUGAACAUAAUAAUGUGAACAACGGCACACCAUCCCUGGACCUUGCAACACAUUCAGAAUGACUAAGUCUGGAGUGUGUCCUGCAGUCCAUACUCCCAGAUGGAUCACAUUGUGUUUCUGGUUGGACUGACACAGUUAUAAGACUACUGUGGCAACAAGGGUGUGUAGAUAAAACUGAAGAAAUGACGAAAUGACUGAAUCACAGAAAAACUUUGACCUAAUGCCAGGAUGGGAUUACAGCAGUGGUGUGCAAAGACACUCCUCUGGGCAAAGCUUCAUUUUCCAUUUGCAACAGGCAUCGGUGAACGAGGAAGUGGAGGAGGAAAGCAUGGAUUGGAUCAGUGAACUGUAAAACAUGGUGUAGUCUGGCUUUGGUCGGUGACUCAACAGGAAAUGAUGGAGCAGGAGGCUGCUGAAGACCUCCUGCUGGGCCUGUAGACCCUCUGCCCACAUUGAAGCCUGAAAUCAUGGGUAGGGGAGCUGCCCAGGCCUCCAGUGCUGCAUCCUGGUAAAAGAAUCGUUCUUUUCAUGAUCCGCUCUCUGCCAUUCAUUGAAGCUGUCACCGUGAAAUCAGAUGUCACAGGGUUUAGAUCACUUUAAUCUUUGCCACUUCCUCAACCACUUCUUUGCCCACAGACUCAGUGUUGUUUUUCUCUAAUGGUACCCUGGGAGAAAAAGUGUUUUGCUUUCUCGUCUUUUAUACGAAUUUAGGGCAACACCAUACAUAAAGCUGUGUGCUUGUAGAUGUGUGUGUGUGUGUGUGUGUGUUUUCCACCUCGACUCCAUUACUUUCCUUGCAGCUACAAGGAAGCUGCAAGUGACAGGAUACAUUAUCAGGCUUUUGUAAUUGUAAAAACACAAAUAAAUUCAGUAUCAGAAUGGAUUUUAAGGAGAAGAUUUUCUUUUGGCCCUCAAGUGCAGUUCCUUAGCUACUCUGCAAUGAAAAGGCAGCACUAACAUCAUUCUUCAGCCCGUCCUCCUCUUUCUUGCAGUGGCUGUUGCUUCUUUGAUAACUGAGCUGUCUCCUCACAGGAUGAGGUCAAAGGCUCUGGUGCGAAGCCCACUCAGACAUUGGAGGAGCCUGAUUCCUGACGCCUCCAUUUUGCCAGACCCAACUGCAGGGCUAUUAAAUUAUGAAAGAUUACCUGAAGGGGUGUGCUUUUCAAAUCACAUAUAACUCUGCAAAUGAUAAAUUCUGAAUGAAUGGUACUGAUUCAGACAGUAAUCCUAACUUAUGUAAACCCCUUAUCCCUUCUUUCCAAAACAAAUCUAUAAAUAAAAAAUAUAUAUGUAUAUAUAUACAAUAUAUACAAGCAUAUAUGUAUACACCACAUGCGCGAGCUUUUUCUUUUUCUUUUUUUUAACACAAAAAUGUCAAACAUAAAGGCCCUCGUUCCAGCUCUGGUGCCCUGCUACAAGGUUUACGCAUUUAAUGGGUAGGAAUUUUAACUUGUUACACAUGUAGGAUCUGUAAUUGUGAAACUCAGACAUAAGACAGGUCAACUUUGAAAACAGCAGCACGGUUGUCUGUCUGCGGUCUGUAACGGGGCUCUAAUUGCUAUUGCAUGUUUGUACACAGCUGGUUCCUCUAUAAGAGAAUUCCCUGUGUCACAAUGUCAGCACAUCAACCUACACAAAUGCAUUUACCAUAGAACACGUAUGUUAACACCUACUUACUGCAUUUCCUAUUCCAGCUUGAGACAUUGUUAAAUAAGUGGGGGACAAACAUUUAUUUUCUGGGUGACUUCUCAUUUCAUUUCACAGACAUCUGA